UUGGGUUUGUGAGAGAAGUGACAGUGGACCUCUGCCCAGCCCCAGUAGGCCCUGCGGCGGCACCGAGUUACCGGUUGUCUUUUGGAGACAACCGAAAGUGUAGCUCGGGACAGGGUCAGUGGCUAAGGUGAUUGUGUCCUGUGAGAGGUUUGCUGCAAUGCUUGAACCACCAUAGGUCAUGUUGAAUAUGCACGCGCUUCCAUCGCAAGUGGGGUUUGGUACCUGAAAUUAUCACAUGAUGCAACUGUUAGAAGAGAUUCGAUCAUUGCCAUAGAAUUUCCCAUGUUUCCUGUUUUGACAGGACAACUUCCCGUGAACUCUCUCGUCAGCUUUCACAAAUUUAGCCAAAAGUAAUAAAAUAGUUAUGCAUAUUAAAAAACAUAUGGAAGCAUGUAAAACCAAUCUUUCCCACGCGCUAGUCUAGCGCGUGGCAGUAAUUAAGUGACAACUGUGAAUUGUUGAGAAGUGUAGAGCAUUAUCCUUGUUACCUGCUUGCACUGACCAGCUUGGCAGCCAAGGGCCUUGAAUGUGGUUGAUUUAGCAUUGUCGAAAACACUAGAAGAGCAGCCAAGGCAGCCUGAGCAAGGUAACAAAGCAGCAUCAUUGCUAGUAUCCAUGGCCAUGAGCAUGGUUUGAGGUGGGGUUCCAAUUUUGGCCCUGACAAUGUAAGUUGGACUCUGCACAAUCUGCCUGCCUGAAGCUAUUGGCACCACGGAUUUCUUAGCCACCAGGCUUGACAAGUACUGCAGCCUGGCCUGGUCCUUGGCUUGCGUUUGGAGCA
rnacentral:lncRNA from 1 species